UGGCCACACACUGUUUUAGGAAAUACUGUUUUACACCGUUUACAAAGCAAGUUUUGAUGGCGGAAGCAUACAUGUGCAAGGCACGCCUAAGGCGCAGCGUCUGAACGUUCACUUGUUGUUGUUGUUUUAAUACUGAAGGUCUCCGAAAGGAAGUGGAACAACUGAGAAAACAGGUGGAAGAACUGUCUGUCCGUCUGAGAUUUUGCUUGGGCAGAUCUGCUGCAUCAGACGGUGAAAUAAUGUUCUACAGUUUCAGUACAGCGACGAACUGGAGGUACUGCACUGAUGCCAAGCUGAGAGAACAGUGCUGUCUGGUACAGUAGUGCAAAAAUAUGGUUAUCUGCCUUUUAAAGUUUAGAAAAUUUAUAAACAUCAUUUUAAAAUAUAAACAAUAAAUCCAUCCUUUAUUUGUCUAGUUUUGUCUCCCUACUCUCAAACUAUUUGGCUGCUCUGUUUGCCUCAUAGAUCUGAAACAUGUCGCCCUCACGUGGAUCUCUCCUGUCACCUGAUCCUUUUCAGAAACGUAAAAAAAAAAGACAUUUAUAGCUUUAAAAGGUCAUACAGAUCGUAUUAACAUAAGAAUAACAUUAGUGAAAUUAUAAAAACACAAGAUCUUAAAAAGGUUAAGUAAACAGAACACAGACUAUAAGAGUAUGCACUAUCAUAAAUGAAGCUAGCUAAUGCGUUAACUUGAGAAUAUGCACAUUCAAACGCGGAAAUAGCCGUAAAUACAUUUCUUUUUACAAAUGGGAAUGUUUUGUCAGUAUAUUCAAAUUUAAAAUCACUUACAAAAAAAGCUAUAUUCUGUAAAUAAAUUUUCCAUCAGAGAUCGAUCAUGUUCAUUCAUAUAUCCAUAUAUCCACAUAUCCACAAAUACAUUUGUUAGAACACAAAAGAGUUUAAUAAAUAUAAGAUUAUCUUCAAAUGAAUCACAGCCUGAAUGAGCUGCUGCGUGCACAAUAU